UAAGUUAUGUGUAAUGUAGUUUCUUUAGGAUGUAGAUUUCAUUAUCUUUACAGUUGUACUAGACUCAGAUGUAGGAAAUUUAAAAAUAAAUUAUGGAAUCCAUUGUUUAUUACUGUUGUGUGAUGCUGUCAGUACAUCAAACUGGUUCUCAGUAAGGCAUAAGCUUUCCUUUGUAAAAUACAUACACACAUUGUAAUUUUAUAACAGACUGGAUAUCAAAGACUGCUGCUUCAGAUAACACGACUGUGAAGUGAACUUGCGUAUAAUGAAUCAUACAGACUUGAUGGAAGAAAUGUGUGCAGAAGAAGCUUGUUGCAUGUUUUAUACAGAUGAUUAUGGUUUUGAUGGAGAGUGCUGUAAGUGGCCACAAGAUGAUACGCAUUAGAGAAAGACUUGCUGAUAAAUUAGAAAUGAUCUCAUUUGAUCCAUACAUUCAACAACCUUCAGUUUACAGGGAACUGAAAAAGGUUC